rnacentral:tRNA from 3 species
GGGCCCAUGGUCUAGACCGGUCAUGACAUCGCCCUUACACGGCGAGGAUCCGGGGUUCAAGUCCCCGUGGGCCCA